GCCAGCAGCCACGUCACCCUGCAACUCACAACUGGCAUCCAACUGAAACUAAGCAGGUGUGAGCUUGGUCAGUACCUGGAUGGGAGACCUCCUUGGAAAAACUAAGAUUGCUGCUCGAA
rnacentral:rRNA from 1 species